rnacentral:rRNA from 1 species
AUUGAACGCUGGCGGCAUGCCUUACACAUGCAAGUCGAACGGUAACAGGUCUUCGGAUGCUGACGAGUGGCGAACGGGUGAGUAAUACAUCGGAACGUGCCUAGUAGUGGGGGAUAACUACUCGAAAGAGUGGCUAAUACCGCAUGAGAUCUACGGAUGAAAGCAGGGGAUCGCAAGACCUUGUGCUACUAGAGCGGCCGAUGGCAGAUUAGGUCGUUGGUGGGAUAAAAGCUUACAAAGCCGACGACCUGUAGCUGGUCUGAAAGGACGAUCAGCCACACUGGGACUGAGACACGGACCAGACUCCUACGGGAGGCAGCAGUGGGGAAUUUUGGACAAUGGGCGAAAGCCUGAUCCAGCAAUGCCGCGUGCAGGAUGAAGGCCUUCGGGUUGUAAACUGCUUUUGUACGGAACGAAAAGCCCCGGGUUAAUACCCUGGGGUCAUGACGGUACCGUAAGAAUAAGCACCGGCUAACUACGUGCCAGCAGCCGCCGUAA